rnacentral:misc_RNA from 1 species
AGCUUUUGGGUCCUAACAACCAGUAUCUUCCUAAAAUCCUUUCGGUGUUUGCUGAGGUCUUGUGUGCUGGUAAAGAUCUGGCUACAGAGCAAACUGCAAGCAGGAUGAUUAGUCUUUUGAGGCAGCUUCAGCAGACUUUGCCACCAUCUGUGCUUGCCUCGACCCUGUCUUCCCUACAGCCACAGCAGCAGCUUGCACUGCAAUCCGUCAUGUCAACAUAGUCUUUCUGCUGGUGCGUGAUGAAACUGGAAUUUCUGCCUUAUCAGCUUGUUUAUUGGUUUGCUAUUUUUUCCCACCCAUUCUUUAUCUCAAAUUUCUUUAACGUAAACUUUGCCAUCCUUGCUGUCGAGGGAAAUGUUGAAGCGGUGGUUUUGGUGUAGGAUGUGUAUAUGAUGUGUCUGAA